UGGGGAAUAUUGGACAAUGGGCGCAAGCCUGAUCCAGCCAUUCCGCGUGAGUGAUGAAGGCCUUAGGGUUGUAAAGCUCUUUUACCCGGGAUGAUAAUGACAGUACCGGGAGAAUAAGCCCCGGCUAACUCCGUGCCAGCAGCCGCGGUAAUACGGAGGGGGCUAGCGUUGUUCGGAAUUACUGGGCGUAAAGCGCGCGUAGGCGGCUUUGUAAGUUAGAGGUGAAAGCCCGGAGCUUAACUCCGGAACUGCCUUUAAGACUGCAUCGCUAGAAUUGUGGAGAGGUGAGUGGAAUUCCGAGUGCAGAGGUGAAAUUCGUAGAUAUUCGGAAGAACACCAGUGGCGAAGGCGACUCACUGGACACAUAUUGACGCUGAGAUGCGAAAGCGUGGGGAGCAAA
rnacentral:rRNA from 1 species